UAAGGAAUAUUGGCCAAUGGACGCAAGUCUGAACCAGCCAUGCCGCGUGCAGGAUCAAGGUCCUAUGAAUUGUAAACUUCUUUUCUACGGGNACAAAACCAGCUCAUUGCUGAGGUCUUUGACGC
rnacentral:rRNA from 1 species